rnacentral:rRNA from 1 species
GAUGAACGCUGGCGGCGUGCCUAAUACAUGCAAGUCGAGCGAACGGACGAGAAGCUUGCUUCUCUGAUGUUAGCGGCGGACGGGUGAGUAACACGUGGAUAACCUACCUAUAAGACUGGGGUAACUUCGGGAAACCGGAGCUAAUACCGGAUAAUAUUUUGAACCGCAUGGUUCAAAAGUGAAAGACGGUCUUGCUGUCACUUAUAGAUGGAUCCGCGCUGCAUUAGCUAGUUGGUAAGGUAACGGCUUACCAAGGCAACGAUGCAUAGCCGACCUGAGAGGGUGAUCGGCCACACUGGAACUGAGACACGGUCCAGACUCCUACGGGAGGCAGCAGUAGGGAAUCUUCCGCAAUGGGCGAAAGCCUGACGGAGCAACGCCGCGUGAGUGAUGAAGGUCUUCGGAUCGUAAAACUCUGUUAUUAGGGAAGAACAUAUGUGUAAGUAACUGUGCACAUCUUGACGGUACCUAAUCGGAAAGCCACGGCUAACUACGUG